AACGCAUAUUGCGCUCGAGACUUCGGUCGAGAGCAUGCCUGUCUCAGCGUCGGCUCACCCCUCGCCCACCCUUUCCCCUGUUCGCAGCGGAGAGGUGCCUGGACGGACGUGGCCGUCUCGCUCCCCUUUCCAGGGGAGCGGGUCGGCUGAAGUGCAGGGCCCGCGGCGCGACCCGGACGAGAGGGCGCCAGCAUGGUAGGUGGCUCAACGCUGCAUGCCGCUGUCGCCUUUCAUCUCGGCCCGGACCAAGGUCGCACCCAAUCGUCCGCUCGGCCACCAAGCAGGAACCGUCACCCGACCCGCAGCGAUGCGGCGGGCGGCCUCAACCCUUCGACCUGAGAUCAGACAAGACCACCCGCUGAACUUAA
rnacentral:misc_RNA from 1 species